AUUGAACGCUGGCGACAGGCCUAACACAUGCAAGUCGAGCGGUAGCACAGAGAGCUUGCUCUCGGGUGACGAGCGGCGGACGGGUGAGUAAUGUCUGGGAAACUGCCUGAUGGAGGGGGAUAACUACUGGAAACGGUAGCUAAUACCGCAUAACGUCGCAAGACCAAAGUGGGGGACCUUCGGGCCUCAUGCCAUCAGAUGUGCCCAGAUGGGAUUAGCUAGUAGGUGGGGUAACGGCUCACCUAGGCGACGAUCCCUAGCUGGUCUGAGAGGAUGACCAGCCACACUGGAACUGGGACACGGUCCAGACUCCUACGGGAGGCAGCAGUGGGGAAUAUUGCACAAUGGGCGCAAGCCUGAUGCAGCCAUGCCGCGUGUGUGAAGAAGGCCUUCGGGUUGUAAAGCACUUUCAGCGGGGAAGAAGGCGGUGAGGUUAAUAACCUUGUCGAUUGACGUUACCCGCAGAAGAAGCACCGGCUAACUCCGUGCCAGCAGCCGCGGUAAUACGGAGGGUGCAAGCGUUAAUCGGAAUUACUGGGCGUAAAGCGCACGCAGGCGGUCUGUCAAGUCGGAUGUGAAAUCCCCGGGCUCAACCUGGGAACUGCAUUCGAAACUGGCAGGCUAGAGUCUUGUAGAGGGGGGUAGAAUUCCAGGUGUAGCGGUGAAAUGCGUAGAGAUCUGGAGGAAUACCGGUGGCGAAGGCGGCCCCCUGGACAAAGACUGACGCUCAGGUGCGAAAGCGUGGGGAGCAAACAGGAUUAGAUACCCUGGUAGUCCACGCCGUAAACGAUGUCGAUUUGGAGGUUGUGCCCUUGAGGCGUGGCUUCCGGAGCUAACGCGUUAAAUCGACCGCCUGGGGAGUACGGCCGCAAGGUUAAAACUCAAAUGAAUUGACGGGGGCCCGCACAAGCGGUGGAGCAUGUGGUUUAAUUCGAUGCAACGCGAAGAACCUUACCUGGUCUUGACAUCCACAGAACUUUCCAGAGAUGGAUUGGUGCCUUCGGGAACUGUGAGACAGGUGCUGCAUGGCUGUCGUCAGCUCGUGUUGUGAAAUGUUGGGUUAAGUCCCGCAACGAGCGCAACCCUUAUCCUUUGUUGCCAGCGGUUAGGCCGGGAACUCAAAGGAGACUGCCUGUGAUAAACUGGAGGAAGGUGGGGAUGACGUCAAGUCAUCAUGGCCCUUACGACCAGGGCUACACACGUGCUACAAUGGCAUAUACAAAGAGAAGCGACCUCGCGAGAGCAAGCGGACCUCAUAAAGUAUGUCGUAGUCCGGAUUGGAGUCUGCAACUCGACUCCAUGAAGUCGGAAUCGCUAGUAAUCGUAGAUCAGAAUGCUACGGUGAAUACGUUCCCGGGCCU
rnacentral:rRNA from 1 species